AUUGAACGCUAGCGGGAUGCCUUACACAUGCAAGUCGAACGGAGUGGCGAACGGGUGAGUAAUGUAUCGGAGCGUGCCCAGUAGCGGGGGAUAACUACGCGAAAGCGUAGCUAAUACCGCAUACUAUUGGAGCGGCCGAUGUCGGAUUAGCUUGUUGGGGGGGUAACGGCUCACCAAGGCGACGAUCCGUAGCUGGUUUGAGAGGACGACCAGCCACACUGGGACUGAGACACGGUCCAGACUCUCCCGGGAGGCAGCAGUGGGGAAUUUUGGACAAUGGGGGAAAAGCUGAUCCAGCCAUCCCGCGUGUGCGAGGAAGGCCUUCGGGUUGUAAAGAACUUUUGGCGGGAAAGCGGUACCUGCAGAAUAAGCACCGGCUAACUACGUGCCAGCCGCCGCGGUAAUUC
rnacentral:rRNA from 1 species